UACGUAGGGGGCAAGCGUUGUCCGGAAUCAUUGGGCGUAAAGAGCGUGUAGGCGGUUCGGUAAGUCGGCUGUGAAAGUCCAGGGCUCAACCCUGGGAUGCCGGUCGAUACUGCCGGACUAGAGUUCGGAAGAGGCGAGUGGAAUUCCCCGGUGUAGCGGUGAAAUGCGCAGAUAUCGGGAGGAACACCUAUGGCGAAGGCAGCUCGCUGGGACGGUACUGACGCUGAGGCGCGAAAGCGUGGGGGAGCAAACAGG
rnacentral:rRNA from 1 species